rnacentral:rRNA from 1 species
GUGGGGAAUCUUGCGCAAUGGGCGAAAGCCUGACGCAGCCAUGCCGCGUGAAUGAUGAAGGUCUUAGGAUUGUAAAAUUCUGUCACCGGGGACGAUAAUGACGGUACCCGGAGAAGAAGCCCCGGCUAACUUCGUGCCAGCCGCCGCGGUAAUCCGUAGGGGGCUAGCGCUGCUCGGAAUUACUGGGCGUAAAGGGCGCGUAGGCGGACAGUUUAGUCAGAGGUGAAGGCCCAGGGCUCAACCUUGGAAUUGCCUUUGAUACUGGCUGUCUUGAGGACGGGAGAUGUGAGUGGAACUCCGAGUGUAGAGGUGAAAUUCGUAGAUAUUCGGAAGAACACCAGUGGCGAAGGCGACUCACUGGCCCGUUACUGACGCUGAGGCGCGAAAGCGUGGGGAGCAAACAGGAUUAGAUACCCUUGUAGUCC